UUAACGAUAAAAGCAGAGAGUAUAUUUUUGGGAAAAGCUUUCAAAAGAAAUUAAUGUUUUGCCAUGAUUAUUGUAGGCUUAGAGCACGAAACGUAGGCAUUUUUGCAUGGAGGCAUAACUCUCCUUUGCUGAAAUUACCAAGCAUGUUACUCUAAUUAAGGAACACGGGAUUCAAUCCUCUUCUUAGUAUACUAAUAGAAAGGUUUAAAAUCUUUGAAAGGUGAGGGGGAAGCCUUUGAAAAUGCAAUUAUUAACUGCUUGCACAGUGAGAGCUAAGAAAACCAAGUUACUCCUAGGAUCCAAGGACCCUUAUGUGAGGUUAUCUUCUAAAAAUGUUCUGCCAAACUGCCAAGCUUGCCAUGAACUAACAAAGAAAUCUAAAAAGUGCCCUUCAAUCAGCCCACGGUUGACAGCAGCCCAGAGCAGUUAAUUUGGGGCCCAUACACAGCACAUUGUAACUCAUUUCCAGAAAUUAGCCUUAGAUUAGAAGAACUCCAUGUCAUGGCUAACUUUGUUUGCUAAAUGAUCUUGUUUAUUUGUUGCUUUUUUUUUUCAAGAAAGAUACCUUUCCUCUACGAGGUUUAAAGCUUACCGCUGCAAAAUCAAAAUAAUUAUUGUAACCUAGCCCUCUUAGCCGUAAAUUUCUAUUUUAUUUUCGUCGAAACAUCACCGCUAUGAUAGGAACCUUCAAAGACAAAUGAUAAUUGGUCCCAAACUUUUCGAAUCUACACACUAAUGAUGUUUAAGGGAGAUUGAUUCUUUUAAAAGAGGCAGACACAUUGCUACAAACUUGACUUUCCUGUGUUAAUUCUGUGUUCAUAACACAUGACAGAAUUGCGUCACAGCAUCAAUGAGCCAUUUAACCCCUAUGUCUUGUAUUACAUGUAUUUUUUUACUAUGUACAUUCUGAUUGGUGCAAGGAGGUUCAUCAGUGUUGGAGUGCAAAGCACAAACACAUAAAGAAUGGCUGAUCAACGUUCUUGAAUUCCAUAUCGAUAUUUAAUGAAUGUGACCUGAAGGCUCCCAUCUCAGAGAGAUUCAAGGAAAACCAGCUAUUUCGUCGCCGAAUGGGCCGGAAGUAAACAUCCUUCCACUGCAUCAAAUAAUGCAGUGAGAAAGAGAAAUUUGUCACGACAGAACGAACGUAAGCCAAAGGGGUGCCCUCCGCCAAAAGGACAUGGCUGCGAAGAGCAACGAUGAUUUGGCUGAACAGUGCAGAAACUCUCAUUAACACACCUCGUGUAGAAUAUCUUCUAUAAAACUUUUUUUUAUAUCAAGAUGGCCAAAAAAAGCAUUAAUCGUUAUAGUGAGAGAGUAAAAUUGUUAAUUACAUGCCUCUUGUGUUGUUCCCUCGUCUUCUGUCUGUGUCCUAGUAAUUCAUGCAGGAUGUCACCUGAAGAGAAGAACAAGGUUGAACAGCCAGUUUGGGAUUAUCGAGCCGGUUAAACUGUUUUGGAGGACCAAAUGAGUCCCAUAGACGCAAAUUUAUAUACUUUAUUCAUAAACGCACGUGAUCAAUUGAUUUUUCAAGCUGUAAAGGGUUAACUGGUUUAGAAAACAAGUAAGUUCAGUGCGUAUUCCUGGCGUCGAUAUAAGAACACUUGUCGGAAAUCUCUAAGGAGCUUAAGCGCAUCGUAAUCAAUUGGGUCCUUGCUUUUUAUAGUUAGAACAUUUCCAGGCCUCUGAAAUUAGUAACCAACAAAUUCGAAUCCAUUCUGUGGAAGACAAAAUUUGCCUAAACCUCUUUUGAGCAAAUAUUACAAUCAAAUCACAAUUUCAUUGUUGUGGAAAGACAUCCUUAAAAAAUACACCUUUCAUCCAUCAUGCAGCCGAAUUAGGAUGGGUCUGUAAUGAGAGCCCAAGAAUUUUAAAUGUCGAGAAUGUAGCAUAAAAAAUAAAAUGGAGGAGUAUAAUGCUUAAUUAAACUUUGACAAAACACUUCAUACUCACAAGGUUUUUUGAUGACAAGGUGAUUAGUAUGGAUUAAGUUAAAACAAAAUGUUUGACAGUUCUUGCUCUGUGAUACAAAUUUAUUGGCUAGAAAAGAAAUUUUGGUGAUUUGCAAAAAUGAUACAAAAGUUGCAAAGGAAUGCAAUUGUAUGUCUCUUGGGUGGGCUAAGACAGACGACCUCAAUAAAACUUCCUUUGGAUUCACGAUUAACACUGUAUGCUCCCAUAAUUAACCAAUUAAUGAGGAAACGAUCUUUAAUUUAGAAUUUGACCCAGCUUCGAAACACGAAAUGAAACAUCCCUAAUGGCUGUAGUCCUAAAAUAGAUAGCAUGAUAAAGAUAACGCACGUAAGGUCAAGCCGGGUCUACUAUGUUAUAUCUUUCUUUUUCCAGAGAUUAUCGAAAGGUCUAGUUGAGUCCCCAUUAUAAGCCACUUCAGAGUAAUUUUGGGAUGGAAUUUAAGUGUACCAAGUCGUUGUGCAUGAGAAAACGAGCGUGGAGCAAAUAUCACCUGUCAAAAAUAUCUCAUGCAGUUGACUUAUCAGUUUUCCUUUCUCAACACUUAUCUGCGUAGCGGUGAGUCUUGGAGGAUGCACGAAGGGCACAUAAUGAGGCACAGCAGCUUCAAUCAAAGUUGUCUCCGAAAAAGAAACCUUGCACAUCUCCUGAAAGGCCUUAGGGGCGAAACCAGAUUGUUCUGCAGAGUGAUAGUAUUCUGCACGCUCAGCCCUUUUUCGAGGAACGUGGGUAGGCACAAAAGCUUCAAUCUACACUUUUUCAAGACCGAAGAAUCUUGCCUAUCCCUUGAAAGGUCAGAGGGACCAAAGUCAGAUUGUUCUCUAAUUAGCUGGAAUCCUAAGCAUGCUCAUGAAACUUAAAGAGAAUAGUCCCCAGGACUCUGCCACCUCCUGAGAAUGGCUGCAUCCCAAACGUUUUACGGAGAAAUUUUCCUCAGCUCCGUUUAAUCCAUGUUUGCCAACGGGAUAUGAAGCUGGAAGGCAUCAACCCAAACACUGCGGAAUACACAGCAGAUACUGACGACGUAUGGAACGAUUCAAUGGUGGCGUUCAGCACUAGGAAUGGCCAGCUUGAUGACAUUAGAGCCAGGAGGAAGCCUGGAACUGACGACCUGUUUCAACGACUAGGAGCUCCACAUAGAGAUAUUUCAGACUUAUAUGCUUUUCCUUUUUUUGCAAUAUCAAUAGCUAUAGCAGUUCAGCGAUAAUGAGCUACACAAAUAAACAUUACAGACCCAAAUUGUGAUUUUCUUUCUGCAAAAUCUCGAGAAACAGCUGUACUGACAAUUACAAGCUAAACCAAAAGGCAACAUCAACUUAAAAGCUGUUUUUUUUCUUUCUUUUUUGUGACAAUUAAUUAAAGUAGCAGCUGUUUUUAAAUUAAGAGUUUAUCAUGGUUACGUAACCUAUUUAGUAGGGUGUUGCAUGUUACGUCGUUAUAACUGCUUCAUUAGCAAGCAAAGUUGGUAUUUACACUGCGUUGCUUUCACUCAUAUUCAUUCGUGUUAUGCGAACGCCUCUGCGCCCUCAAAAUUAAAUACCCAAUGAGUGAGGGCUAUUAGUUUUUUCAUAUACAUAUUUACAAAGCGUAUGCAUAAGAGUCAGUGCGUUUAUUAUCUUAUUAGUUGCUUGCUUGUUAUAUUUUGAGCCUUUCAGAGUUUCUGUAGUUUUGCCUGCAAGACAUAAUAAAGAGGGUCCCACAAGGCUCGUGUUGAAAGACCCCAGCUAUGGUUGCUUAUUACAUAAUAAAUGUUUUAUAUUCAUUUGAUUGGGAUAGCGAAUUAGAACAUAAACGUUGUGGUUUUGUGUAUGCCAUCAGGUUGUUUAGCUGCAACCUCGUUCCCAGGGCCUCUCUUCUCCCCUUCUUCCUCUCUCUCGAGAUGAAGGGAAGUCAGGAGACAUAAGGAACGAGGUUCAGUAAGUUGUUUCAAAUAGCAGCAUCUAAAGUCGAUGUUUAGUUUAUUUCAAGUCUUUUGACUCUUCAAUCAAGGUAAUUGGAAAAUUCUCAUCAAAGGUUUUUCAAUAGUAGAGAUAAAAAUUAUAUGGUUUCUGACUCAUACUUCUCAUUCGAGAGCAACUUAGUUUCCCUGACCUUGUGACACUGAUGCAAUCUACCAAAGCACAGAACAAAUGCAUGCUUAUUCCGAAGAGAUCGAAUAUCGAAGAGAAGCCCCUCCAAAGUAAAUGUUACCGUAUGUUCCAGCCGACAGAAAAACACCGCAAUCUUACAAACUCAACUACUUAAUAUACAGCGAGUAAUGUUCUUAACAAGGAGCGGCUUCUAAAAGCAGCACAGUGCUUAUCGUUAAUGAACUUAAUUAAGCCCACCACGUUCUAUAUCCUAGCUCAUCACUGACACAAUCUCACUGCUGUCUCCAAAGUUCCUUGAAAUGAGUAAUCUUCCGCAGUAACUCUCUCUCGGUAUAGCUUUCGAAACAGUCGUCGCUCUGACAACAACCACUACUACUACUACAUAAGUGAGUCUUUAUAUAUCUUCACAUAAGGAACAUUCCAGACGCUUUCACAAGGACUAUUUUAGUAGUAUUACAUAAUAAAUACGUGACUUGAUGAAAUGUUCUGGAAAGGUCUAUGGUAUGCAUGUCAGCAUGACUCAGCAGUC